UCCCUGGUGGUCCAGUUGUUAUGAUGCUGUGCUUCCACUGCAGGGAGCACAGGUUCGAGCCCCGGUCAGGGAA
rnacentral:tRNA from 1 species